CCUACGGGUGGCAGCAGUGGGGGAUAUUGCACAAUGGGGGGAACCCUGAUGCAGCGACGCCGCGUGGGUGAAGAAGCGCCUCGGCGCGUAAAGCCCUGUCAGCAGGGAAGAAAAUGACGGUACCUGAAGAAGACGCCCCGGCUAACUACGGGCCAGCAGCCGCGGUAAUACGUAGGGGGCAAGCGUUAUCCGGAUUUACUGGGUGUAAAGGGGGCGCAGACGGGCAUGCAGGCCAGGAGUGAAAGCACGGGGCCCAACCCCGGGACUGCGGUUGGAACUGCGUGGCUAGAGUGCAGGAGGGGCAGGCGGAAUUCCUGGUGUAGCGGUGAAAUGCGUAGAUAUCAGGAGGAACACCGGUGGCGAAGGCGGCUUACUGGACUUUAACUGACGCUGAGGCACGAAAGCGUGGGUAGCAAACAGGAUUAGAUACCCGGGUAGUC
rnacentral:rRNA from 1 species